UCCUUUCGUUUAUAAGUGAAGUUUACUAUUAUUCUUUCUGCAUUGCCUUCAAACCACCCUUAAUAAUAUGCAAUUUGUCUCAACUAUAUCAAAUUGCAUUGGAUAACAUUAAUAGUCUAUUACCUAGCAUGUAAUAGUCUUUUAAGUUAAUAUACGCUUCCACACGCGCGUAAACUACAAUGUAUAUUUUGCAUAUUUGCACAGCCCAUAUCAUGUAGUGUGUUAAACACCCUUAAUAGUAUGCUUAUGGCAUUUUCACGUUGCCCUGCAUUAUAUAAAGAGGGGCAAAACUCCCAGGCUGUUAUUGAGGUAGGCUUAGUUGAGUGUAAACAAUUGUGGACAAAUGCAGUUCAUUGUGGCACACUGAACAAGUCUCUUCCAUGUUUCAAUGGUGAGCUUCCUUUCAAGCUCUCCACUAGGUAUGUGUAAUUUUGUAAAAUGAGUUUCGUUGGAUUCAUAAGAUUUAGGUUUUUGGGUUGCUUGCAUUUACCUAUUUACUUAUAUUCUCAUCUUACAAUUACAUUUACUUUUGGAAGGUAUACGACUGUUAAUUGAUCAGAGGUGUUUUACCACUAUUGAGUCAAAAGAUGUGCUGAUUCUAGAUGUUUUCCUGUUUUCAUUAUACCCAGGUUCAAUGAUGCAAUUGAGGGAAGAAAGGCUAGGGACAGCUAGCCCUGAGGUGGAUGAUGAGAAAAGAAGGUUGGCUGACUUAUUGAAAGAAACAGGCAGACUUUGGAACAGAAAAGCCAGAUCACUAGAGAACCUCCUUGAGGCCAACUCUGAUGGUAUAAACAAUGAUCGAAUUAAGGUAUGAUAAGAAUGGCUAUCUGUUCAGGAACGAAAUUUAGCUGGCUGUCUUCAAUGGAUCAGUUCUCGACAAUAGCAAAUAGAAGCAUUGAUGAAAUCAAAUUCACUUGGAAUAGAAUAAUCAAAGCAGAAGCUGCAAGCUAAGCCAACUAAGACUCCAAAUACUACUGAGUUUUGAGUUGGGAUUUUUGGAAUUUGAUAAUCGAAAGCCUCUGUAUGCACCAUGCUGAAAAUGGCACAACCAGGUUUUUGUUAAGUGUAAUUCCAAGCUUCACAAAGUGAAGACAUAGGAACAAUGAAGUUCAAUUUGUUGGUGAGCUUAAACUCCAGGGUUAUAGCUACCGGUUGAAGAUUCGCCAGAAAUAACAACAAAUUUAUGCUUUCAAAUACUACUAUAUUCAGGUAUGUCUUCAACACAAACACUAUCUAUUUACCUAUUUCACAUAUGAUCUCUCUAAUUCUAUAUAGUAGACAAGUCCGCGAUGAGCGGAAGACAACGAGCGAACCCUAGCGCUCGAGCAAGCGAUGGCGGCGGCCUCCUCUCGUCUCGGGUAGAGUAGGCUGAUCUGGCCCCUGGUACGAUCGUCGUCGAUGGUUGCAAUGGUUUGGAUCCUGGGGUUGUUUUCCGGGGGAUGUUGGUGACGGGUUCUGGAGGAUCUUUGCCCUCCUUGGUUCUGACAGGUUGGACGGAGAGCGGGACGUUGCGGCACUGUCAGAACCGGUCCCUUCCGUCGGUGGCAAGGGGGGUUGGAGUUCGGAGGUGCAACUGGUUUUUCCAUCGACGGGCUUCGCUCAUGCUCCUGCAAGGCGUGAUCGAGGAUUGCUGCAGCAGACUAGGCUGUUGCUCGAUAUGAUGCUGUGACAGGAUCUGCUGCCGGAGGACAUGACGGUGGCUGAGGCACAGGUGCAGCAGGCUUCUCCUUGGUUGGCCUGGGCUCACGCUUAGGCUGAUGAGGCAAGAAAGUCUUCCUGUUGAGCAAGCUCUGAUUUGGGUAUGGGCCUUUGGGCUUGGGCUCAGGUCAAGGCACUCUGGGCCCUAAAUAUUUUAGGGUAUUGAGCCUGUGUGAGGUUGGAUAAACUUCUAUGAGUCUUUUAUGACGUUUCUAGUGUUUUGCUUGUACCACAAUUGCGUGAUUGGCAAGUGAGGGCUAGUUGAAUGAUUUCUUUCCGUAGGAGGCGAGGUUUUUUCAUUCUUGUAUAGGCUCGCUUAAUUGUGAGCGUCCCAGAGAUAUUUAAUGGUGUGCUUUAGCUUAGUUAGGUUAUACUGGAUUUUUUUGCCGGGUUUCUUAUGUAAGUUUU